UUUGGGGGGAAGUGUUUUUGUCUUUGGUGAAAGGCAUCAGGAUAGAAUGUGAGUUUCCCUGGUUUACAUAGUUGCUUAGUGCAAGUAACUCAGACAAGACAGUUAACUCGGAAGCACUUUCCCAUUUGUAAGGUAAGAAUGAUAGCAUCAUACCUCAGGUCAGCUCAGAGGAUUUCAUAAGAUGAUGAUGUCCAAGUGCCCACUCCAGUGUAAAACAUUGCAACCACCAAUAAACAGAAGCUGUUUUUCAGAAGGAUGGAAGGAAGCCCAGACUGCAGAUACCGACAUACAGUGAAAAGCUUAGAGAGAGGUGUGCUGGGAUUUGCUAUAGAGCAGGGCCAUUUCCAUCCCUACCCCAUUCCAGCAAGCGCGUGUCAGGUGUCAAUACCGUAGCUGAUUCAGGGGUAACAUCUGGAAAUGCAGAAAGGGUAGUCCUGGACUUGUCUUCACUUCCUUUCAUGUGAUCCAGGCAAGACACAGACAGACAUGUGCUCCUCAUCUGCUAAACAAGACACUCUAGACAUCAUCCUGCAGCUUCCCGGCCACCAGGCUGUCACCAGCUCUCACCAGACGCCUCCCGUUCUCUCCACUCUGAAGCUCUCCCACCUGUCUGUCAAUUUUAAGUGUCUGCAACCCACCAAGGGUGUUUGUCUACUUUCCUGCACACUGCAAUAUAUUCUAAAAUCUAGACUUUAGUUGUUGGAUUUUUUUUUGUAUGUGUGUGUUUCCACACAACAGAGAGGAUAAUAAUUAGAAAAUUAACAGAAAUGCAUCUCACGGCUAUCUGGAGAUGGUCUGAAGACCAAUGGAGGCAUUUCUGUUUGAAAUAUUAUUUUAAGAGAACAAACACCCUAUAUGGGAGACUCCUUUGAUUACUUUCUCAAAGACCUCUCUUUAGUGAGAGAGCAUUGUAAUUAAUUAAAACCCACCUUGACUCUUGGUUAGUUUUCCCUUGAUUAGCUUAGCCCAGCAAUUUCUCAUCCAUCCCUCACAAAACACUAAUCAUUUUGAGUUGAAGCGGCCUGAUCUGACACCUGGCUAUUGUGGAUCUGAAAACACCAUGCUAUUUCAGAAGUCUAAAUCCUACAGCAAUUUAAAUUUUGUUCAGUCACAGAUAGAAAUGAUACAAAAUAGCUUUCAUUAUAGAAACUAAUGGAUAAUAAUGACACUAAUUUAAGACUUCAGAGGCAUGAACACAAAGUGGAAACUUUGGACCAAUUAAAAAAAAAAAAAAGCCCUACAUACUUUUAAAAGAGAAGUGCUAGGUUGCCUGAUAAUGUUUCUUCUUUAGCUUGAGUUUUUCUUCUCUGCACAGUUCCAGGUCUCAGCUAACGACUUAAAAAUCAAUGCAGUUUCCCGGGAGUAUUUCUCGGUGAUUGAGACUGAUGGUAAAUUACAUAUGGAGCAGCGUAGCUCAGACAGCUAUGCCUUUCUUCCAAACAUCAUAAACGUUACAAAGAAUCACCAAUGUGACUUACUCCUGUAAUCCCAGCUAAGGUGCAGCAAUUUUCAUGGAUACAAGGAAAGCUGAAGCUAUAGAGUGACUGCCUGUCUCAAAAGAUCCUGGGCUGAUGUUCUUCUCAGCCAACCUGAGCUUUAUGCUCCUCUUCCUCCUCUGUCUGCCUUCUACCUCCUUGAGCAGAGAUUCUUCUCAUCCUUCACAUUUCAUCCUGAGUAAAACCAGAAGACUCAACUGAUACCUCAAACAAUGGCAAAGAUGCCACCUGUUGUUGAAAGAAUGAUCACUGCUAACGCUGUUUUUGGAGCCCACUUACUUUCCAGCCAGACACACGGUGGCUUGCUGAAAAUGACUUAGCUGGUAAAAUCUGGCUUUCUUCCUCUGUUUUCUCUGUAGCAAUGUUUUCUGUAAUCCAUCACACAAAGGGGGAGUCCUCUCAGUGCGGACUUGUCCUCUAUAAGACCUAUCAGCAGGACACCAGCCAAGAAUUCCUAAAAUGAUGUGCACUUGUCAGGACCUUCCAAUGAUCUCUCCCCAGACCACAUGCCUGAGGACAUGUGCCUGCUGGGAACCUUAGAACUCCUUGAGUUUUAACUGGGAUCAGAUUUCUGCCCUGACCCCAGCCUGCUGCUCCCAUAAGAAACCCUUUGAAUGGGCGGGGUCACAGUCUGGAGGGAAGGUAGGCUUGUAACUGUUACUAUGUUCAUCUUAGAAACAGUGCCAGAUAUGUUUAGCAUGAGGCAAUAUGUUUGAUUUCAAGAGGCUUGAAUGGAAAAUGAAAGCGGACUACAAAGGCUGGAAGUGAAGAGUUUGGGCCCUUAGAAAUCUAAGAGGAGCCGGGCAAGAGGCCAUUAGUGCUCCGAAUGGGAUUGAACAGAACAGGGAAUCAGGCAUGGAUACCAACAGUGUUUAACAGAGGCAUGGCUAAAGAGUAGCUGAUUCAGGGUAGCAACUGGGGUUUAAGUUUUCCUUCUUGGAAUACAGACCUGAAAAGCAUCCUGGAGGUGAAUCAUGGGAGCUUGGCUGAUCAAAUUGCUUCCACUAAGGAAGCCAAGAUCUGAAGGACAGGCACAAUCCUUCUUCCCUAACACCCAUUAUAUCCUUCAAGUCCUAAAUUCACACAACUAAAAACAAAACUGUCCUCCUCCUACAUUUUGUAAAAGAUUCUUAUCUUGCACUGAAAUAACUGUAUUUCCCUAUCUCCUUGCCAUUAAUUUUCCUUCCACUCUCCACGAUGACCAGAUUGGGCUCCUAAAAAUAAUACUGCACAAACAUGACCUAGUUAUGUGUUUCUUUGCAUAGUUAUACCUACAUCUUGCAUAAACACACUAAUUUGCCACCCUUUCCUCUUAGAAACUCUCUUUUACCUUAGGAAUAAAACGUAAGUACUUUGAAAGAGUGUCUGUACUGGUUACUUUUUUGGCAACUUGACACAAACUGGAGUACCUGGGAAGUGGGAAUUUCAGCUGAGGAACUGCCUCCAGAUUGGCCUGUGGACAUGUCAGCAGAGCAGUUUCCUAAUUGCUAAAUGAUAUAGGAGGGCUUAGUUCAUUGUGGGUGGUGCCACCCCUAAGCAGGUGGUACCAUG